rnacentral:lncRNA from 1 species
CUAAAGAAAUGCUGCAAUGACAUUCCAGAAUCGUCUUGUUUUGCUGGGAUGAUGAACUAUCACCUUGCUGAUGCAGAACUUGCAGUUGAGAGUGUUCAACUUGCUGCUGUGGAUUAUGAUGUGGAUGUGAAAAAUUCUCUUGUUGUGGGGAUUGAAGAUAUACAUGAAGUGGAGAAACAUGGGGCUGUUGCAACAUUUGCAAUGGCUGCACUUGCAUUUGAACAGG